AACGCAUCUUGCGCUCCUUGGUAUUCCGAGGAGCAUGCCUGUUUGAGUGUCAUCAAGUUCUCAACCAUACCUUGGUGUGGCUUGGAUUUGGGGGUUUUUGCAGGCUUCAAAGAAAGUCGGCUCCCCUGAAAAGCAUUAGCGGUGUCCGAGUACCUUUGGUGUGAUAACUAUCUAUGCCUUGGUGUAUACGAUGCAUGCUGCUUCUGAACUUCAUUUUUAUUGACAAAUUUGACCUCAAAUCAGGUAGGAUUACCCGCUGAACUUAA
rnacentral:misc_RNA from 1 species